AACGAACGCUGGCGGCGUGGAUAAGACAUGCAAGUCGAACGGAAUAACAUCUGUAGCAAUACAGGUGUUAUUUAGCGGCGAACGGGUGCGUAACACGUGGGGAAUCUGCCGAAAAGUGGGGGAUAGCUCGCCGAAAGGCGAAUUAAUACCGCAUAUGGUCAGUGAAGACAUCUUCACAACACCAAAGCCGGGGAAACCUGGCGCUUUUUGAUGACCCCGCGGCCUAUCAGCUAGUUGGNGAGGUAACGGCUCACCAAGGCUAUGACGGUAGCUGGUCUGAGNGGACGACCAGUCACACUGGAACUGAGACACGGUCCAGACACC
rnacentral:rRNA from 1 species